UGUUGUUGUUGUCAUGUGUCUGCCCCGCCUUCGUCUGCUCCUCCCUGUCUCCACACCUUAUCCUAAUUGUAUCUCAUUGUCUUUUGUAUAAAUGUGAGCCGCGUUGCCGAUGGCUGCGUGGAAUCAAUAGUUACGUGAGUUACGUGUGUUACGUGUACCUUAUUCAUUGUUAAAUGUCAUCUGUAUUGCUUUAGUUCUUAUUAUUUACUGUCUUUGUCUUUAUCUUUUAUUAAACCCCAUUCAUUUGAAGCUAUCCUGUAUACGGGUCUGUCUCCUUCCUUCCCUGGUUGUGACACUACUAAUACUACUAAUAAAAAUUUUCAUGUGAUGCUUAUUAAGUAAUCAGUGUAUCAUUACUUUCCUAGUACUCAAUAAGGUGUCUAUUAAUUUUUUACAAAGUUGUUAAUAUGUUUUCAUAAAAAAAUCACAUCAUCUUGUCACUUAUUUUAGCUUUUAGUGUGUGUCAGAGAUAUCAGAGGCACACAGGAUACCAUAAUCCUGAAGACAUCGAACUCAAAAUAAUCCCUGAUGCAACAACAGCGAGUCACUGAUGGAUUAAUAGAUGAAAUUUCAGAGUUGAGCACACAACAACAACAAAAACAGCAACAACAACAACAAGGACGAGAAGGAGUUUUAAUCCUACUAAGGAUUAGGUUUAGUUCCUUGAUGUGACAAAUCUUUCUCCUUCGGUUUUCCUGCACUCAAGGUGACUUGCACCUUUUAUGAGAAGUAAAGAAAAUAAGACAGUAUUUAGAUUCAGACUCUGACAAGAAGAGUUUAUCGCUGAUCAGCUUCGGCGCUUGAGUCCCAUAUCUUUCAUUCUUUGUGCUGUUCAAGCAUAAAACUGUGAAAUACAGCAUGACAGCCGUGCUUUCAAUAACAGGACCGAACAUACUGUAUUUCUUGCUGACUUCUUGUCUUCGUCAAUCUUCCUGGAUAAUAAAUAUUACGGCUUGGUGAUAUCUCGCAAAUUAAUAUCACCUUCGCAAUAGAUAAUGUUGCCGGACAGAGCUGAUACAAAUCAGGCCGAGAUUACACCACUAUUUACUUACUUAUUUAUUUUAGUAUAUUAUUUCACAUAGUAUACUAUAAAAUUACUGCUUUGUAAAAUUACCUCAUGUCCUAUGAGUCAAAGGAAUGAUCUACUGUCAUCCAACCAGGUCAAAUAAACAACAACAGAGUGUUGUGUCAUGAAUUCAGUUCAGUUACCACCACAAACCUGAUUAGUUUCCAAUAACAGUGCAUCCUGAGGUGUUUCAUUCAAUUUGAUCACACUAACAAUUUAGAAUUUGUUAACGAAGUACACAAAGAAGUCACGCUUUUUAUUCCAUAACAUUUAUUGUUAAGAAACCACACAUUCUUCUGUCCUGAAAACUUGCUAUGCUAUAAUUUACUGUGCUGAUGCAAAAAUUAGAAAGUAUUAAUUUUUUCCUUGCUUUACUCUGUUGGCAUGAGGUGAAACUGAGUAUCAGCUGAGGCUUUGGGAAUCUGGGACACAGAUGACGUGGGACUCAACUGAGGCUCUGGGAAUCUGGGGGUUUGGUGAAGCUCUGCGUAUCCAGCUGAGGCUCUGAGAAAAAAAAGUGGAGCUCUGGGAAUUUAAGAGUCCACAUGCUUGAGUUAUUCAUCCUAACAGAGGCUGCCUUCAUUCCCUUCUGACACCGCGGCCUGAAGCGACAAGACUCAUCUCUCUUUAAAAAAUAACAGCAAAUGGGAUUUUUUACCCCCCUCAUGACCAAAGUCUACGUUUAGCACCGAGCUUCCUGGAGGCACGUCUCCUUGGCCUGAUAAUUAAAGGAUUUAGUGGCCCUUUGAGAACGAGGGGGUUACGCUUCUCCUUCAGUCAGGUCUGUUAUUAAGCUCUCGAGGGCCCUGACUGAAAGCCGAAAGUCACCGGGGUCGACCCGGCUGCUUUUCACCAAAACUUGUAUUCUGAAGAGGAAGCAUGAGGAAGUCCUUCGUCUUCAACGCCGCGAUUAUCGGCAUCUGCUCCAAACAAAUUGCACGAGACAGAGACUGUUACACUGGAUUUGCAACAUAUUCCAAUCACGUCAACACAGAGAAGUUCUUGGUCAGUUGUGAAUCUGUGGUUAUACCCAAGAUUUUUGCUGAUAUGGCAGCAAACAGGUCCAUUUAAAAAUUGAGCUGAAGCUGAAAAGAGCAGUGGUCAAAAAUCUAAAGGAGCUCACAUUCUGUCUACAACGCCGUCAUAUUAAUGCCUUUCCACCAUCUGAAAUUGGAGAUUUGAGAGGCAAAUGGCCUUCGUUUUUAGCUCAAAAGUUCAUAAAGGCUCACUUUGAGUUACUUACAGACAUCAAAGUGCUUUGUAGCCUAGACCUCAGUAUGGGGGAAUGUGAAAGAGCCAUCACACAAUACUUCACAAGAAAACCUACCAAUAAAGAUGUCAAGAUGUCCUAUCUAAAAGUGAAGCUAAUGAGAUGGCACUUCAUGUUGUUCAGCUGCUUAUAGCACACUUUGGAGAGAACCUAUCAGGGCUAGUCCUUUUUGCAGCUGUGUGUGCCACUGCAGUUGAUUUUGAGACAGCUCUAACUAUACCUGCAAGUCCAUGUCUGAUACUACUUGGUAUAGAUUUCAUUACUAGACAUAUAUUAAAAUCCAUCUAGUUUUGCUUGCACUGGAUGGGACUUUAUAUAGGUCAGUGAGCUCUCUCUAUUCUCUGUAUAACUAAUAAUAUAACUUCAUAGUAUAAUAGUAUAGUGUACUAUUAGUAUACAAUAGUAAUACUAUAACUCCGUAUAAAUAAUAAUUGUUUUGACAGACUGAUGUUGCCACAUUAAACCACAUGAAACUUACCAAUAGUUCAGACACUUUAUCGUUAUUUUUACUGCAGUGUUAAAACAAUCAACACAUUAUUUAACAUGCCGAAUGAAUAAAAGUUCAUUAAAAAGAUAACUGUGGCAAAAAGAACAAAAUUUCUAAUUUGUGAAUGUGAAUCCAAAAAUACUAGAAGUUAUCAUGGCCUUGAAUGUACCUUUUCUUAGAAAUGAUCAAAUAUUGCAUGUUAUUUAUUAUCAUUAUUUCUGCUGAUCAGAGUUAAUCAUAUACAGUAGUUCAUUAUUAUUGAUUAUACUUUAUUUCCCUUUGGGUCAAACUUAAAAUUUCCUAAAGGUUUUUAAGCAAACUUUGCUAAUGUUAAGAAUAGGUUACGUUGAGUCAGUGCGUUGUGAAUAUCACCUUACUAUCUGAGUUGUUAUUGUUCCUUGAUAAUUUGAGAGAAAGUUUCUAAAUUACUGAUAUAAUUAAUUACAAUACCCACAGUUAUGUGAAUAAAUUUGUAGGAAAUCAUUUAGUGGGUAGCACGUUCGCCUCACACCUCCAGGGUCGGGGUUCGAUUCCCGCCUCCGCCUUGUGUGUGUGGAGUUUGCAUGUUCUCCCCGUGCCUCGGGGGUUUCCUCCGGGUACUCCGGUUUCCU